AUACUUACCUGGCAGGGGAGACACCAUGAUCAUGAAGGUGGUUUUCCCAGGGUGAGGCUCAUCCAUUGCACUGUGGGUGUGCUGAUCCCUGCGAUUUCCCCAAAUGCGGGAAAAUCGACUGCAAUUGUAUCUAAGUGAAGAUGCAUUCCUAUUUCAUU